UACGAAGGGGGCUAGCGUUGCUCGGAAUCACUGGGCGUAAAGCGCACGUAGGCGGAUUGUUAAGUCAGGGGUGAAAUCCUGGAGCUCAACUCCAGAACUGCCUUUGAUACUGACGGUCUUGAGUCCGGGAGAGGUGAGUGGAACUCCGAGUGUAGAGGUGAAAUUCGUAGAUAUUCGCAAGAACACCAGUGGCGAAGGCGGCUCACUGGCCCGAUACUGACGCUGAGGCACGAAAGCGUGGGGAGCAAACAGG
rnacentral:rRNA from 1 species